UAAACAGACGCUGAUCAUCGCUACCUUUGUCCUUCCUAGGCAGUCAGAAAUCUCAGAAAUCCCAACACGUGGAGUAGUCCCACCUUAACUAACCUAGCUAAAGACACGCCCAGAGGUUUGUUUCCAUGGUGAUUCUAGAUCCUUCCAAGGUCAAAGUAUUUGAUAUAAAGAAAUGAUUAUGGUUAAAUAAAGUCAAAAUGGUGGAACUCUAGUUUGAAAGAGCUAGUGUUCCUGUAAUAAAAGACACCAGAGACCCAGCCCCAUCUGCCAUGCGAAGACACAACAAGAAGGCAGCCAUCUUCUGAGCAGAAAGAUGGCCCUCACCAGGACAGAUCAGCAGACAUCUUGACCUUAAACUUCCCAGCCCUGAGAACACUGGAUAAAAGUGUCUUUUAAAGUUAUGCAGACAAUGGCAUUUUGAUAUACGAUUCAAGCUUACUGCAGAUGUAGGGUGUAUUUAAAGGAACCUGUGAUGGAAACCAGGGAGCAAUGACUGCCUCUGCAGAGGGUCAUGGAUAGCAUCUAAGAAGACAUGGUCCUUGCUGGGUUCCUCCUGUACACCACUACACUACACGCUGUAUAAGCUGAGGACACUAGCCCAUGUCCAAAGUGUUUUGAGCUCUAAUGCAAAAGACUAUAUGCUAUUGUGCAUUAGAAAGAAAAUAUAUCAGCUAUUUGAAACCUCUAAUCAGUCCUGUUCACUUAGUUCAAGAAGCCGUUCAGAAUUACUCUUGCCAACUGCUUUUCUUCUUUACUUCCCUUUUCCAGAUUAUUCCGCAGUAACACGGGGACAAGAGAAUCUGAAUCCACGCAGAAACAGCUAAGGUCCUUCAGAGGUGUAGAUUUCUACUCAUAAGCUAAUCCACGUAAAACAAACAGGAAACAGAAAUACAAAGUGAAAAAGCAGAUGGGACAAUCCCACAGAAAGCUAAUAUCUACCUUUCCAAUAUAUAUGAAAGCUGAGGAGGGAUAUCUGCUCAGUGACGAGUGUCUUGAAUGUAUCAUACAUUCAUCUCAACCCUGUCUCAACCCCAGUGAUGGAUGGGGGCUGGUAAGAAGGUAUGGACUCCCUACCCCAUGCUCCUCAUGCACUGCCAGGCAUCCAAACAACUGCGGAAGAAGCCCUCCAGGCUCCUGCUUCAAUGGCUUCUGUUCAUUUGAGAUCUGACAGAUGGACCCUCAUCAGUAGUCUCCUCAAAACAUGGUCAAAUUGACACAUAUGCAGGAGAGAGAACAGUGGUGAGCAAGCUUAAAGCACUGAGAAAUCAAGGACAAGAAGAACAGUCUGUGUCUCACAUGUGCAUUUUUAACACAGAGAUGCUUCCUCUGUCAAGCAGGUCUACACGUGUUCUUCUGGAAUCUCUUAGGAGCGCUUUGAAAGGAAAGCUAUUCCAUGCUUUAACUCUCACUUGUUGAGUUGUAUCUUCGAAAUUUACAGUUGACUUGUUGAAUUGACCUCCCUGAAAAUACUGUGCGUGUGUGUGUGUGUGUGUGUGUGUGUGUGUGUGUGAAGCUAUAAAAUUCCAUUUUAAAAUUACAUUUAUGAAAUUUUUAAUGGCCCGGAAAGAUGAUCAAAAUGUUAAAUGAGUGUCUCUCAGUCCCUCCAGACCCAAACCCUCAGUCCCUGUCCCAGUGAUUCAACAGAAUACCAAGUACAGCCUCCGUUGCCCCUGUCCAUAUCUUCCUGUGAAUGCCACAAAUCAUGCCUUCCUAACCCCAACUCCAUCCUCACUAUUCCCAGCCCCCAACUCUAACAGGCACCCCUGCUAAGCCACAGGUCAUGCCCACCAGAAAACUAGGUCUGCUGAAUGUAGACCUUCUCCUCUCUCUUUCCCCAGACUCAGUCCCCCAAUCUUGUCCCCAACCAAACAGCACACCCUUGGCAGCCUUCCCUGUUCCCUGCUCCCAUCUCCUAUGAAUUCCACAGAGCUCCCCUUUCUAACCUUGCUUUCUCUACAUGGUACUUGGUCCCAGCCCUCAACAGCAGCAGGCACUCUCUACUGGCCCACAGACCAUUCCUGCUAAUCUGUAGGUUUUCCAUUUUCCUUCUGGUUCCUAGAUAUAAACCCCAGUCUCAUGCCCAGAG
rnacentral:lncRNA from 1 species